rnacentral:rRNA from 1 species
AGAGUUUGAUCCUGGCUCAGGACGAACGCUGGCGGCGUGCUUAACACAUGCAAGUCGAACGGGCCACCGACCUUCGGGUCGGUGGUUAGUGGCGAACGGGUGAGUAACACGUGAGCAACCUGCCCUUGACUCUGGAAUAACAGCUGGAAACAGCUGCUAAUACCGGAUACGACCUUCGAUGGCAUCAUCUGGAGGUGGAAAGCUCCGGCGGUCAAGGAUGGGCUCGCGGCCUAUCAGCUUGUUGGUGAGGUAGCGGCUCACCAAGGCUUCGACGGGUAGCCGGCCUGAGAGGGCGACCGGCCACACUGGGACUGAGAUACGGCCCAGACUCCUACGGGAGGCAGCAGUGGGGAAUCUUGCGCAAUGCGCGAAAGCGUGACGCAGCAACGCCGCGUGGGGGAAGAAGGCCUUCGGGUUGUAAACCCCUUUCAGUUGGGACGAAGCUUCGGCCGUUAAUAGCGGACCGGAGUGACGGUACCUUCAGAAGAAGCCACGGCUAACUACGUGCCAGCAGCCGCGGUAAUACGUAGGUGGCAAGCGUUGUCCGGAUUUAUUGGGCGUAAAGCGCGUGUAGGCGGCCAGGUAGGUCCGAUGUGAAAACUCGAGGCUCAACCUCGAGAGGUCAUCGGAAACCACUUGGCUAGAGUCCGGAAGAGGAGAGUGGAAUUCCCGGUGUAGCGGUGAAAUGCGCAGAUAUCGGGAAGAACACCCAUGGCGAAGGCAGCUCUCUGGGACGGUACUGACGCUGAGACGCGAAAGCGUGGGGAGCGAACAGGAUUAGAUACCCUGGUAGUCCACGCCGUAAACGAUGGGUGCUAGGUGUGGGUCUCAACCAACGAGAUCCGCGCCGUCGCAAACGCAUUAAGUGCCCCGCCUGGGGAGUACGGUCGCAAGACUAAAACUCAAAGGAAUUGACGG